rnacentral:tRNA from 1 species
GAAGGUAUUGCUCAGUGGUAGAGCACAUGCUUAGCAUGCAGAAGGUCCUGGGUUCAAUUCCAGUACUUCCA